UGAGAGAAAAGUGAGGGGGACAGGGAGAGUAGAUUGGACGUGUUAGCCCACAGUCACAAUUCCUGGGUAAAGGUUUUCCAUUGAGAGAAAAGUGAGGGGGACAGGGAGAGUAGAUUGGACGUGUUAGCCCACAGUCACAAUUCCUGGGUAAAGGUUUUCCAUUGAGAGAAAAGUGAGGGGGACAGGGAGAGUAGAUUGGACGUGUUAGCCCACAGUCACAAGUCAUUGGAAAAGGUUUUCUAUUGAGAGAAAAGUGAGGGGGACAGGGAGAGUAGAUUGGACGUGUUAGCCCACAGUCACAAGUCAUUGGAAAAGGUUUUCCAUUGAGAGAAAAGUGAGGGGGACAGGGAGAGUAGAUUGGACGUAUUAGCCCACAGUCACAAGUCAUUGGAAAAGGUUUUCUAUUGAGAGAAAAGUGAGGGGGACAGGGAGAGUAGAUUGGACGUGUUAGCCCACAGUCACAAUUCCUGGGUAAAGGUUUUCCAUUGAGAGAAAAGUGAGGGGGACAGGGAGAGUAGAUUGGACGUGUUAGCCCACAGUCACAAUUCCUGGGUAAAGGUUUUCCAUUGAGAGAAAAGUGAGGGGGACAGGGAGAGUAGAUUGGACGUGUUAGCCCACAGUCACAAGUCAUUGGAAAAGGUUUUCUAUUGAGAGAAAAGUGAGGGGGACAGGGAGAGUAGAUUGGACGUGUUAGCCCACAGUCACAAGUCAUUGGAAAAGGUUUUCCAUUGAGAGAAAAGUGAGGGGGACAGGGAGAGUAGAUUGGACGUAUUAGCCCACAGUCACAAGUCAUUGGAAAAGGUUUUCCAUUGAGAGAAAAGUGAGGGGGACAGGGAGAGUAGAUUGGACGUAUUAGCCCACAGUCACAAGUCAUUGGAAAAGGUUUUCCAUUGAGAGAAAAGUGAAGGGGACAGGGAGAGUAGAUUGGACGUGUUAGCCCACAGUCACAAGUCAUUGGAAAAGGUUUUCCAUUGAGAGAAAAGUGAGGGGGACAGGGAGAGUAGAUUGGACGUGUUAGCCCACAGUCACAAGUCAUUGGAAAAGGUUUUCCAUUGAGAGAAAAGUGAGGGGGACAGGGAGAGUAGAUUGGACGUGUUAGCCCACAGUCACAAGUCAUUGGAAAAGGUUUUCCAUUGAGAGAAAAGUGAGGGGGACAGGGAGAGUAGAUUGGACGUGUUAGCCCACAGUCACAAGUCAUUGGAAAGUUCAAUAACUAUGAAUGUCUAAUGAUUAGAUGAUGCAUGAAACAUUAUACUCUCCAUGUAUAACUCUGGACCACUGUCAUGGGCAUUUAUGAAGCCAGACGUUACUCGAUAUCGAGCCUCGUGUAUAUAUAUAUAUAUAAAGCAGCUCCACACCCUGACUCUACCCUUUCAGAUAAAUCUCUCAGCAAAUAUCAAGUUGAAAUGUAAAAACCCUCAAACAACAAAACAGCAGCUCUCUCCAUGCACACACUCACCAAAUCUCACUGGAUUAAGAGUAAAGUCGUAUAAUAACAGGUUAUUUUGAGUUUAUCAUGCAUUAAGAUUGUUUGACCAAAGAAUAAACCAAAUCCGCUUUGACCCACCACUCCUUAUUUUUGUAAAGAGAGAUUCUUGGCCUCUUAGAAAAGCUGUAACUGAGUUUCUUUGACAUUCAUGAGUGUGUAAAAAUACAUUUUUUAUUGCCAGGACAUGAGAAUGACAGGUAAUGGCCGCAAACAAGAACGGGAAUGAACUUUUGGCUAACAGGAGAGACAUUCAUAAAACAUCGGACGCCAGUUUGACAUCCCUCCUGGCUACAGACAGGACUUCAAACUUCAAUCAAACGUGGAACAAGUUGCAUCAUUUUCUUUUAUUCUGGACCUUUUUGUUUUUAUUUAUUUAUUUAUUUUUAACUCCUUGAGGAGUUUCUGAAGUCAGUAGUGUUCCUGCAAAAAUAAUGCUCUGUUGUUAAUGCUAGAGAAUGAGGAUGACAAAAUAUCAUAACUAAUGAGAGAAAUUGUGUUAUUUUGUGUAUUUUCAUUUUUGUCAAUGUGCAUGUAUAGUUUUAUUAAGGAUAACCUAUAACCUUGAAUUUUGCCUUAUGCUGAUUUUACAAUGACCAUUUAUAUCAUGAAGAAAACUAAUGCAGCAUAAUGAUCUUCAAUAGUUGGAGUUUCAUUCAAAAACGCUAUAUAUCAAUUUUCAGAAAUAUUGGUAAAUGAGCUUUUAUUGUUUAAAGACAUUAUGAAAGAGAUUGUUUUUUUUCACUAUCUAAUCACGGCAUGUUCAGUGACAGACAUGUAUUUGUUGAAAAUCGAUGACUAAUCAUGUUUAGUUUUUUUUUUUUUUACAAAAUGCUAUAUAUCCGCCUCACUCUCAGAGAAAUAAUAGUUUCUGAUGAAAAAACACAAAUGUGAAAAUUGGUAGAUACAGCGAAAAUUGGGCUGAGACAAGUUUUAUAUAUUACAGUAGAUAAAUGUGACAAUAUGCAUUCACAAAAGUCUCUUCUGAAUGGUCAUGGUGGGUAAACAGAGAGACAUAGGGUCUGUCUGUCUGUCUGUCUGUCUGUCUGUCUGUCUGUCUGAUGACUGUAAUGACUGCAUUACCAAAAGAUGGUGUAAGGUCUCUACCCGUCAGACCCGUCCGACUGCAAAGCAUUACCAAAAGAUGGUGUAUGGUCUCUACCCUGGGGACCCGUCUGACUGCAAAGCAUUACCAAAAGAUGGUGUAUGGUCUCUACCCUGGGGACCCGUCUGACUGCAAAGCAUUACCAAAAGAUGGUGUAUGGUCUCUACCCGUCAGACCCGUCCGACUGCAAAGCAUUACCAAAAGAUGGUGUAUGGUCUCUACCCUGGGGACCCGUCUGACUGCAAAGCAUUACCAAAAGAUGGUGUAUGGUCUCUACCCUGGGGACCCGUCUGACUGCAAAGCAUUACCAAAAGAUGGUGUAUGGUCUCUACCCUGGGGACCCGUCUGACUGCAAAGCAUUACCAAAAGAUGGUGUAUGGUCUCUACCCUGGGGACCCGUCUGACUGCAAAGCAUUACAAAAGUAUAUGGUCUCUACCCUGGGGACUCGUCUGACUGCAAAGCAUUACAAAAGUAUAUGGUCUCUACCCUGGGGACUCGUCUGACUGCAAAGCAUUACAAGAGCAUAUGGUCUCUACCCUGGGGACCCGUCUGACUGCACAGCAUUACAAAAUGACAUGGUCUCUACCCUGGCGACCCGUCUGACUGCAAAGCAUUACAAAAGUAAAUGGUCUCUACCCCGGGGACCCGUCCGACUGCAAAGCAUUACAAAAGUACAUGGUCUCGACCCUUGGGACCCGUCCGACUGCAAAGCAUUACAAAAGUAUAUGGUCUCUACCCUGGGGACCCGUCUGACUGCAAAGCAUUACAAGAGUAUAUGGUCUCUACCCUGGGGACUCGUCUGACUGCAAAGCAUUACAAAAGUAUAUGGUCUCUACCCUGGGGACUCGUCUGACUGCAAAGCAUUACAAGAGUAUAUGGUCUCUACCCUGGGGACCCGUCUGACUGCACAGCAUUACAAAAUGACAUGGUCUCUACCCUGGCGACCCGUCUGACUGCAAAGCAUUACAAAAGUAUAUGGUCUCUACCCCGGGGACCCGUCCGACUGCAAAGCAUUACAAAAGUACAUGGUCUCGACCCUUGGGACCUGUCCGACUGCAAAGCAUUACAAAUGUAUAUGGUCUCUACCCUGGGGACCCGUCUGACUGCAAAGCAUUACAAAAGUAUAUGGUUUCUACCCUGGGGACCCGUCCGACUGCAAAGCAUUACAAAAGUAUAUGGUCUCUACCCUGGCGACCCGUCUGACUGCAAAGCAUUACAAAAGUAUAUGGUCUCUACCCCGGGGACCCGUCCGACUGCAAAGCAUUACAAAAGUACAUGGUCUCGACCCUUGGGACCCGUCCGACUGCAAAGCAUUACAAAAGUAUAUGGUCUCUACCCUGGGGACUUGUCUGACUGCAAAGCAUUACAAAAGUAUAUGGUCUCUACCCUGGGGACUCGUCUGACUGCAAAGCAUUACAAGAGUAUAUGGUCUCUACCCUGGGGACCCGUCUGACUGCACAGCAUUACAAAAUGACAUGGUCUCUACCCUGGCGACCCGUCUGACUGCAAAGCAUUACAAAAGUAUAUGGUCUCUACCCCGGGGACCCGUCCGACUGCAAAGCAUUACAAAAGUAUAUGGUCUCUACCCUGGGGACCCGUCUGACUGCAAAGCAUUACAAAAGUAUAUGGUCUCUACCCUGGGGACCCGUCCGACUGCAAAGCAUUACAAAAGUAUAUUGUCUCUACCCUGGGGACCCGUCCGACUGCAAAGCAUUACAAAAGGAAAUGGUCUCUACCUUGGG